CAAUCGGUCCUUUUCAGGACCACAAAAUAUAUUAAAAAAGAGAUUUU
rfam:Lucilia cuprina strain LS Scaffold237, whole genome shotgun sequence.